rnacentral:rRNA from 1 species
AUUGAACGCUAGCGGGAUGCCUUACACAUGCAAGUCGAACGGAAUGUCGAACGGGUGAGUAAUGUAACGGAACGUUCCCAGUAGCCGGGGAUAACUACCCGCAAGCGUAGCUAAUACCGCAUACUAUUGGAGCGGCCGAUAUCGGAUUAGCUAGUUGGUGGGUUAACGUCUCACCAAGGCGACGAUCCGUAGCUGGUUUGAGAGGACGACGAGCCACACGGGGACGGAGACAGGGCCAGGACUCCAACGGGAGGAAGCAGUGGGGAAUUUUGGAAAAUGGGGGAAACCCUGAUCCAGCCAGCCCGCGUGGGCGAUGAAGGCUUUCGGGUUGUAAAGCACUUGUGGCAGGAAAGCGGUACCUGCAGAAUAAGCACCGGCUAACUACGUGCCAGCAGCCGCGGUAAUAC